rnacentral:rRNA from 1 species
AUGCUUUUAGGAUCCCAGCAAAUAAGGAAGCUAACAAUGAUGGACAUACCUAGCAUUUUUGGGCCCGGAGAUAGGUUCAUCACUCUCUACGAGGGCAUAAAUCAUCAUCCAGAUCCAGAUUCCAUUUUCAGGAAUAAGACCGUCGCACAGCUAGGAUGUGGCAAUGGUUGGAUAUCCAUUGCGCUUGCAGAAAAAUGGUGCCCUUCCAAGACUUCUGAUAAUCUGCCGACAGUCUAA